CCUGCUGGACCCGCGCGCUCGCGCCUCGGGCGCCGGGGGAGGAGGGAAGGGGUGCGGCUCGGGCCCCGGCGCCGGCUGCGGGCGUCCGCCUCAGGUAGCCGCGCCCCCCGCCCCCACACCGGGGCCGCCACCUCCCUAUAAGUGGCCCGCCGCGGUCGCCAGACCAUGGGGCGCGUCUGCAGUCUCCCGCCAUGGAGCCGGCCGAGAGGUUCCUGCUGGACAGGCUCGCCUACCUGCAGUGCGCCAUGAGCCUCCUGGGCUUCGUGCUGCUCCGGCUGCUGCGCUCGUGCUACGGGCGCUACGUGUCUCCGGGCUCCGCCUUCCGGGUGCCGGCGCGGGCCGCCUGGGCGCUGCAGGAGCUGCCCUCGCUCGCCGUGCCGCUGUGGGUGUGCACCGUCACGGCGGCCGAGCGCCUCCGCCGAGCCCCCAACCGCAUCCUCCUGGCCAUGUUCCUCGUCCACUACGCGCAACGGUCCUUGAUUUUCCCGUUCCUGAUCCGAGGCGGAAAGCCCAUGCCCUUGUACACGUUUGCAUUGGCCUUCAUGUUCUGUAGCUACAAUGGCUACUUGCAAAGCAGAUACCUGAGCCAGUACGCCGUGUAUGCGGACGACUGGGUCACAGAUCCCCGAUUUCUAGUAGGGUUCUGCCUGUGGUUGAUAGGCAUGCUGGUAAACAUCCAUUCAGACCACAUCCUGAGGAAUCUCCGGAGACCAGGGGAGACUGGGUAUAAGAUACCGAGGGGAGGCUUGUUUGAGUACGUGACAGCAGCCAACUACUUCGGGGAGGUGGUGGAGUGGUGCGGCUAUGGCCUGGCCAGCUGGUCCGUCCAGGGCGGGGCCUUCGCCUUCUUCACCGCCUGCAUCCUCUUCACCCGGGCCCGGCAGCAUCACCAUGGACCACGCCGUGAGAGGGACACAGCGGCAGUAACAAAGUGACAGCAUCUCAGAGCGCCAUGCCGGCCGAAAGAAGCGAGACAGAAGAGAGCACAGACAGCUGUGGACGGCUUCCUCGCAACAUUGCUGUAACGCACCAGCCCCACACCUGCAGGACGCGCUACGGUGACAGCACUGUGUGAGACCAUCAGACACAAAUUCAACAAAAGCAGCAGAUGUUCCCACCACAUGAAGGAAGGCUUCUCAGGAGAACCACCCAACCAACCAGGGACACCCAUGCGGAUUCGGGUAAGUGAGAGUGAGCUGCCGUUAUGUUGAGGGACUGAGGCUUAGCAUGACUUGCCUAAGUAAUCCUGUCUGGAACACUGAUCGGGAGCUCACAUGGCAGGUGAGGGAAGGAAGCAGGGUGUUGAGCUGUAGUGAAAACAGAGGCUGGAGCGUGUUCACCAGAGGGGGGCCUGGGCCGGAGGUCAUGACACACACGACUGAGGAUCCGUCAUAGGCUGAGGAGACGAAGGUCACAACAAAUUAACCAUGAUGUGGGAUCCUGGACCGUAAAAGGACGUUCGAGGAAAAGCUGGUACAAUUAUACAAGAUCUGUAGUUCAGUGUUGAUUUCAUGGUUUCAUGAUUGCAUGAAGGGUGUAUGGGAACUCUCUACUGUUUUGCAACUUUUCUAUGGUCAUCUAAACCUAUGACAAAGUGAAAGAAUGAAAAAAAUACAUUGCAGGACAUGGCGUCAGAUUGCACAGCUAAGCAGGAAUUCAGGAGUUCUGUCUAAAGGGCCUCUGGCAAGAGGUGGUGGGGGUAGGAGGGCUGGUAAGGGACGGAAGGUCGGCGAAGGAGGCAGAUGGAAACCCCCAGCCACGCACGGGUUAUUUCAGCACCUCAGACUCUGAUACCAGAUGCCCAUGACCGUGGAUGGCACAUGGGUCCUGACUCGAAUGGAUGUCAAGGGUGACUUGAAGCUCGUCUCAGACAUUGAGCUGGUGCUGCUCCUUCCAUCCUUUCUGCGCUCAGCCAAAAUUCAUCCUUGGAGCCAAGACAUGGAUAUGCCUAGAAGUAGAGAACAAUGAGGUAAGUAGGGAAAUAAAAAAGUCUGUGUCCAGUUGAGAUAUGGUCAAGAUUUACUAUUCUAAUACCUAGAACCCAAACUUUCCAUUAUGGAUGAGGUGCAACCUCAUCCAUCAGGUCAGUCACCCACCAACUUGGGGUGAGUGUGUCCCCAUUCAUCAUCAGGUGGGGCUUAUGUCUAUAUCACUGGUCCCCAGUGGUAGCAUAAAUACGUGGUUCAGCGUGAGGCACCUGUGCACCCUGUGUUGCCUCUUUUUCCUUGUGGGGGUUUCCUCAUGUCUCCUUGACUGGGGAAGAAAAGCCCUCAUGUGUGCUUUAGGGGUGGUCUUGAACCACGUGGAGGAGCCAGCUGGAGGUGGUCUGCUGCAGCGUAUCAACCCCAUCAAGAAAGAUUCAGAAAGACCAUACUGGAGGAAGAGCUCCACAAAAGCCAGAGGGCCAAGGAGUUCAUUAGCUCGGCCACUCUGUCCAGACUGAGAAGGACCAGGACAGAUCUGCCCUCACGGACAGGUGGCAGCUACUGGUGUGUGCGGUUGCUCAGAGACUUAGAAGCAAAGGGUUGGGAGAUUGGUAACAAGGAGGUGGAGAGAGAGGUACAUGCUCAGACUCUCAGCAUUUUAUGUGGCAUCUUUGGAUUUUCAAAUGUAACUGAUUCGGAAGUUUCAAAAACACUGCACAGACCAAACCAUGCAUGGGCUUGGUCUUACCUCCAACCUUGGGACACUUGUAAAUUAUAAAAACAAAUGGAACAAAACAAGUGUUAGAGACCUGCCGUGUUCCUGCAUUUCCCAACAAAUCGGGACAAAUUACAAAUUAGAGAUGAAAGGAGAAAUGUUUAAGUCCCUUCGUUUUGGGCUCCAAAAAUUGAGGUUGGGAAUUCAGGUGAGCAGAGGAUGCUGGGCAAUGUCCCCCAUUAUCACCGGAGCAGGACCACCAUACCCAACUACAGGACACGAUACACAUCAGGUUUCUGUGACAUCAGAUACAGCUGGUUCUCGAUACUCAGUUUACAUUGGCAAAGCGGCAGCACACACCAAAUUAGCGAAGCCUAGGCCACGGCCCCUAAAGAAGAUACGGGGUUAGUUUCCUCUGAGCCUCUCGUCAUAACCUUUCCAUCAACCAAUCAAUACAUAAUUCUGCUUCCUUGUUAAUUAAUGAAUUAUUGAAGACACCUUAUUUUAUAUGUAUAUAGUCGAUCUGUUAACAUUGGAUUCACUGUCAGUAGUGCUACAGCGAGCGUCCAAACCCGCCCCUCUCUGCAGGGCCCAUCACAGCCUUCUUGUCCUAGGAUAGCUAGACAGCGUGUGGGCACUGUGUCGGGGCCCCUUGAGACAGGGAAAUCCAUAGAAGGCGCCACAGCGAGGACAACAUGGGACUCUAGACUGCAUAAAGGAGACUUGGUUGUUGUUGGGGGGGGGUUCAAAAUGAGAAGGCAGAGUGCUGCUUUGUUCUCUCUCCGCUGGAAAUGAAAGCACACACUGGGUGACUCCUUUUUCCCCGACUCCGCACGUGUCCGAGAUUGUGGCCGUGUUGCCAGUGCUGACUUGGGGGUGAGGGUAGAAUACACAUUUGAGCAAGCAGGUCAAUCACCGAUAUGGAAUCCUCGAGUAAGGAGGAUCGACUUGUGUGUGUGUGUGAAAAUUACCUGUGUGUGAGAUGGGGAGGAGUCAGGAGGCCGGCACAGACAGGUGCCAAGACCAGGGUGACAGACAUUUACACCCCCCGACACGCCACCCCCGGCUCACCCAUUACCGUGGCGACGUCCACAGACAGGGCUGGAAAAACUGAAGUCAGGGGUCACAAGUCUCAGAAGCUUCCAUCUUGUGUUAAUCCCAGGGGCAUCAUGUGCUGCGUAGAACCCACCCAGCACCCCUAGGCCCCACGGGAACUGUGCUGGCUGACUGGAGAUGGUGGCAGGCGCUGGAGAACCAGGGAACCGAUGCAUGGCGUUGCCUGUCUCGGCCCAGCUCUGCGGCUACCUUCACCAACCCUCCCGAAUGGCUAGAGGACUACAGCCUAAGCAAUCCACGUGAACGUGUUCCACUGAGACCGCACUCCUGGAAGAGCCCCGGCGUGAGAGUGAAGAAGAGGGAGUCACUCUGGGAGUCACUCACCAAGUUUGCACCUAUACUAUAACUCGGAGUCCAAACAAAAAGUUUUCUCUCAAGCGGUCAGCCCAGAGGUAUAUCCCUCCUGCGUCCUGACGGAGGGAAGAAAGCUGGUAUGAAGGCUCGGGUGCCCGACAGUAGUUUUGUGUUAGAAUCCUGAAGGGACACUAAGAUGUUUGAAUAAAGGGCCAGGACCACACGCAAACCUCCUUCCUGGGCUCUCCUGUCCCCAGCUGCCCUGUUCAAGCCCUGGAGUGUAUUAAGAGAAGGGGCAAGGUCAACCAACAUCGUAUACCAACAGAUGGCCAGACUUCUUCUAGGACAGUAGACAGUUUCUCCCCCUGCCCCGAGUCUCGGAUUAUAAGCUGGACGUUAUUCCGUGCUGUUCGCAUACAGCCGUUCUGAAAGGCAGAGCUGUCUCCAGUGUCCGGCGAGGCGCUCUGACACAUGGGCUUGAGGCUGGUCUGUGACCCGAGAAAGCUGCCCGGCAGACCCCACAAGGCAUUCAGCCAGACGGGAUCAGAAAAUCCAAGUUCAAGAGAAUCGCUGUUACACGUGACUGCGCCGGAGAACGGACAGCUCGGGCUAACGACUGAGGUGGGGGAAAAGCCAGUACAUCGUCUUUUCCUCAGGCGUUUGAAAUACCACAUCUUUUCAUUCACUACACUCUACAUCUGCCUGGGUCUCUUUUGCUGUUCACUACUUUGCUUAUUAAUUUACUAGACACGAGAUUCGCAGGAUACUGCAUUGUUGGGAUGGAUGUGCUAUGCCGUUCAAUCUACUAUGUCUGUUGGAGUACUGUACUCUCACGUUGUUGUGGGAUACCUGGAAAGACAAGUUUCCUCCAGUUAUUUUUCUUCCAAAAUGUUUCUCUUUUUAAAAAAAUGUAAUGCUUUCAGACAUUUUCUUCCUAUUAUUUCAUGUCAUUUUUACUUUAUCCCACUUGAACUUUUAACCAAGGGAAGUGGCCAAAAUAACCCCCACAACACCUUGUCCGAGUGUAAUAAAAACUCAUGUUUUGGUGGCUCAAAA